rnacentral:tRNA from 1 species
UGGGGUGUAGCCAAGCGGUAAGGCAGCGGAUUUUGAUUCCGCCAUUCGGAGGUUCGAUCCCUCCCUCCCCAGCCA